rnacentral:rRNA from 1 species
AAUCUUUCGCAAUGGGGGAAACCCUGAUCCAGCCAUCCCGCGUGUAUGAUGAAGGCCUUCGGGUUGUAAAAUAUUUUUUGCAGUGAAGAAAAGGUACCUCCUAAUACGAGGUACUGCUGACGUUAAUUGAAGAGUAAGGACCAGCUAACUACUUGCACGCAGCCGCGGUAAUACGUAGGGUGCAAGCGUUAAUCGGAAUUUCUGGGCGUAAAGCGUGUGUAGGCGGUUCGGAAAGCAAGAUGGGAAAUCCCAGGGCUCAACCUUGGAACUGCAUUUUUAACUGCCGAGCUAGAGUAUGUCAGAAGGGGGUAGAAUUCCACGUGUAGCAGUGAAAUGCGUAGAUAUGUGGAGGAAUACCGAUGGCGAAGGCAGCCCCCUGGGAUAAUACUGACGCUCAGACACGAAAGCGUGGGGAGCAAACAG